rnacentral:RNase_P_RNA from 1 species
AGACAGACGAUCGCGGCUGCAUGUGCCGAAAGGCAGCAGACGAGGAAAGUCCGGGCUUCACAGGGCAGGAUGCCGGAUAACGUCCGGUGGAGGCGACUCCAAGGCCAGUGCAACAGAAAUAAACCGCCCGGACAGAUGCAUGGGGAUAACAGGCAGGGACAAAAGAGAUCCCGGUUGUCCAUAUGCAUCUGUCCGGGUAAGGGUGGAAAGGCAGUGUAAGAGACUACCGCCUCUCUGGUAACAGCGAGGGCACAUGUAAACCCCAUCCGAAGCAAGACCGGAAAGAAGCAAUGUGGCUGCCCGUCACGCUUCAGGUAGGUCGCUCGAGCACGGCGGCGACGCCGCGCCUAGACAGAUGAUCGUCCAACGACAUAACCCGGCUUAUCGUCUUGCUUA